GUCGGGGUUUCGUACGUAGCAGAGCAGCUC
rnacentral:piRNA from 8 species